CCUACGGGAGGCAGCAGUGGGGAAUAUUGGACAAUGGGGGAAACCCUUAUCCAGCUACGCCGCGUGAGGGAAGACGGUUUUCGGAUUGUAAACCUCUGUCAGUGGGGACGAUAAUGCCGGUACUCACGCCGGAAGCCACGGCUAACUACGUGCCAGCAGCCGCGGUAAUACGUCGGUGGCAAGGUUUGUACGGAAUUACUGGGUGUAAAGGGAGCGUAGGCUGGAUGUCAAGUCAGAAGUGAAAAUUAUGGGCGCAACUCAUAACCAGCUUUUGAAACUGAUAGUCUUGAGUGAAGUAGAGGCAAGCGGAAUUACUAGUGUAGCGGUGAAAUGCGUAGAUAUUAGGAGGAACAGCAGUGGCGAAGGCGGCUUGCUGGGCUUCUACUGACGCUGAGGCUCGAAAGCGUGGGGAGCAAACAGGAUUAGAUACCCGAGUAGUC
rnacentral:rRNA from 1 species